GGCUGUAGCUCAGUGGUAGAACACCUGCUCUGCAUGCAGAAUGUCCUAGGUUCAAUCCAUCUCCUGGAAGGGUUG